rnacentral:ncRNA from 1 species
AAGUAUCCCUAGGGGCGCCGCAAGGCUGAGACAGAGUCAUCUGAACCCUUUGAACCUGAACUGGGUCAUACCAGCGGAGGAAAGUGGAAAACGAACAUC